rnacentral:rRNA from 1 species
AGCGGCGGACGGGUGAGUAACACGUGGGCAACCUGCCUGUAAGACUGGGAUAACUUCGGGAAACCGAAGCUAAUACCGGAUAGGAUCUUCUCCUUCAUGGGAGAUGAUUGAAAGAUGUUUCGGCUAUCACUUACAGAUGGGCCCGCGGUGCAUUAGCUAGUUGGUGAGGUAACGGCUCACCAAGGCACGAUGCAUAGCCGACCUGAGAGGGUGAUCGGCCACACUGGGACUGAGACACGGCCCAGACUCCUACGGAGGCAGCAGUAGGGAAUCUUCCGCAAUGGACGAAAGUCUGACGGAGCAACGCCGCGUGAGUGAUGAAGGUUUCGGGUCGUAAAACUCUGUUGUUAGGGAAGAACAAGUACAAGAGUAACUGCUUGUACCUUGACGGUACUAACCAGAAAGCCACGGCUAACUACGUGCCAGCAGCCGCGGUAAUACGUAGGUGGCAAGCGUUAUCCGGAAUUAUUGGGCGUAAAGCGCGCGCACGGUUUCUUAAGUCUGAUGUGAAAGCCCACGGCUCAACCGUGGAGGGUCAUUGGAAACUGGGGAACUUGAGUGCAGAAGAGAAAAGCGGAAUUCCACGUGUAGCGGUGAA